rnacentral:rRNA from 1 species
AUUGAACGCUGGCGGCAGGCCUAACACAUGCAAGUCGAGCGGAGCGGCUGACGGGUGAGUAAUGCCUAGGAAUCUUCCUGGUAGUGGGGGAUAACGUCCGGAAACGGGCGCUAAUACCGCAUACUAUCAUAUGCGCCUAGGUCGGAUUAGCUAGUUGGUGGGGUAAAGGCCUACCAAGGCGACGAUCCGUAACUGGUCUGAGAGGAGGAUCAGUCACACGGGAAAUGAGACACGGUCCAGACUCCUACGGGAGGCAGCAGUGGGGAAUAUUGGACAAUGGGCGAAAGCCUGAUCCAGCCAUGCCGCGUGGGUGAAGAAGGUCUUCGGAUUGUAAAGCACGUUAAGUUGGGAGGCGUUACCAACAGAAUAAGCACAGGCUAACUUCGUGCCAGCCGCCGCGGUAAUUC